rnacentral:rRNA from 1 species
GAUGAACGCUGGCGGCGUGCCUAAUACAUGCAAGUCGAGCGAACAGACGAGGAGCUUGCUCCUCUGACGUUAGCGGCGGACGGGUGAGUAACACGUGGAUAACCUACCUAUAAGACUGGGAUAACUUCGGGAAACCGGAGCUAAUACCGGAUAAUAUAUUGAACCGCGUGGUUCAAUAGUGAAAGACGGUUUUGCUGUCACUGAUAGAUGGAUCCGCGCCGCAUUAGCUAGUUGGUAAGGUAACGGCUUACCAAGGCGACGAUGCGUAGUCGACCUGAGAGUGGGAUCGUCGACAUCGGAACUGAGACACGGUCCAGGCUCCUUGGGGAGGCAGCAGUAGGGAAUCUUCCGCAGUGGGCGGAAGCCUGACGGAGCAACGCCGAGUGAGUGAUGAAGGUCUUCAGGUCGUAAAACUCUGUUAUUAGGGAAGAACAAAUGUGUAAGUAACUAUGCACGUCUUGACGGUACCUAAUCAGAAAGCAACGGCUAACUACGUG